AAAAAUUUGACAAUACUGUUUUAAUACAUAUUUGAAUCAUGUAAUAAUAUAUGAUGAAGUUCAAAGAGGUUUGGAACCUUUGUUGUCUCCGUUUCUCUAGGGAAUAGCAAUUUUAUAGUGGUUAGUCCAAUGAUUUAGGGAGUAUUUGCAGUUUUGCUAAAUUAAUGGAUAAAAAAUUAGAACGAUGUCCAUGUACCAUGAAAAGAAGUUUAUCAUACAUUAAUACAAAGGUAUAAUGUGGUUUUAAAUUUUAAAACAAAUUUAAAGAUUAUAGGCUUCAUAUAUAGAGCAUUUACCGAAAACUCACUAUUUUCGUAGGGGGGUACACAUAGAUUUUGAGAAAAAUUCAAAAAAUUUGACAAUACUGUUUUAAUACAUAUAUGAAUCAUGGAAUAACAUAUGAUGAAGUUCAAAGAGGUUUGAAACCUUUGUUGUUUCCGUUUCUCUAGGGAAUAGCAAUUUUAUAGUGGUUAGUCCAAUGAUUUAGGGAGUAUUUGCAGUUUUGCUAAAUUAAUGGAUAAAAAAUUAGAACGAUGUCCAUGUACCAUGAAAAGAAGUUUAUCAUACAUUAAUACAAAGGUAUAAUGUGGUUUUAAAUUUUAAAACAAAUUUAAAGAUUAUAGGCUUCAUAUAUAGAGCAUUUACCGAAAACUCACUAUUUUCGUAGGGGGGUACACAUAGAUUUUGAGAAAAAUUCAAAAAAUUUGAAAAUACUGUUUUAAUACAUAUUUGAAUCAUGUAAUAAAAUAUGAUGAAGUUCAAACAGGUUUGGAACCUUUGUUGUUUCCGUUUAUCUAAGAAAUAGCAAUUUUAUAGUGGUUAGUCCAAUGAUUUAGGGAGUAUUUGCAGUUUUGCUAAAUUAAUGGAUAAAAAAUUAGAACGAUGUCCAUGUACCAUGAAAAGAAGUUUAUCAUAUAUUAAUACAAAUGUAUAAUGUGGUUAUAAAUUUUAAAACGAAUUAAAAGAUUAUAGGCUUCAUAUAUAGAGCAUUUACCGAAAACUCACUAUUUUCGUAGGGGGGUACACAUAGAUUUUGAGAAAAAUUCAAAAAAUUUGAGAAUACUGUUUUAAUACAUAUUUGAAUCAUGUAAUAAAAUAUGAUGAAGUUCAAAGAGGUUUGGAACCUUUGUUGUCUCCGUUUCUCUAGGGAAUAGCAAUUUUAUAGUGGUUAGUCUAAUGAUUUAGGGAGUAUUUGCAGUUUUGCUAAAUUAAUGGAUAAAAAAUUAGAACGAUGUCCAUGUACCAUGAAAAGAAGUUUAUCAUAAAUUAAUACAAAUGUAUAAUGUGGUUAUAAAUUUUAAAACGAAUUAAAAGAUUAUAGGCUUCAUAUAUAGAGCUAUUUACCGAAAAGCUCACUAUUUUCGUAGGGGUACACAUAGAUUUUGAGAAAAAUUCAAAAAAUUUGAUAAUACUUUUUUAAUACAUAUUUGAAUCAUGUAAUAAAAUAUGAUGAAAUUCAAAGAGAUUUGGAACCUUUGUUGUCUCUGUUUCUCUUGGGAAUAACAAUUUUAUAGUGGUUAGUCCAAUGAUUUAGGGAGUAUUUGCAGUUUUGCUAAAUUAAUGGAUAAAAAAUUAGAACGAUGUCCAUGUACCAUGAAAAGAAGUUUAUCAUAAAUUAAUACAAAUAUAUAAUGUGGUUAUAAAUUUUAAAACAAAUUAAAAGAUUAUAGGCUUCAUAUAUAGAGCAAUUACAGAAAACUCACUAUUUUCGUCGGGGGGUACACAUAGAUUUUAAGAAAAAUUCAAAAAAUUUGAUAAUACUUUUUUAAUACAUAUUUGAAUCAUGUAAUAAAAUAUGAUGAAAUUCAAAGAGAUUUGGAACCUUUGUUGUCUCUGUUUCUCUUGGGAAUAACAAUUUUAUAGUGGUUAGUCCAAUGAUUUAUUGAGUAUUUGCAGUUUUGCUAAAUUAAUAGAUAAAAAAUUAGAACGAUGUACAUGUACCAUGAAAAAAAUUUUAUCAUACAUUAAUACAAAGGUAUAAUGUGGUUUUAAAUUUUAAAACUAAUUUAAAGAUUAUAGGCUUCAUAUAUAGAGCAUUUACCGAAAACUCACUAUUUUCGUACACAUAGAUUUUGAGAAAAAUUUAAAAAAUUUGAGAAUACUGUUUUAAUACAUAUAUGAAUCAUGGAAUAACAUAUGAUGAAGUUCAAAGAGGUUUGGAACCUUUGUUGUUUCCGUUUCUCUAAGGAAUAGCAAUUUUAUAGUGGUUAGUCCAAUGAUUUAGAGAGUAUUUGCAGUUUUGUUAAAUUAAUGGAUAAAAAAUUAGAACGAUGUUCAUGUACCAUGAAAAGAAGUUUAUCAUAAAUUAAUACAAAUGUAUAAUGUGAUUAUAAAUUUUAAAACGAAUUAAAAGAUUAUAGGCUUCAUAUAUA
rnacentral:lncRNA from 1 species